rnacentral:rRNA from 1 species
GAUGAACGCUGGCGGCGUGCCUAAUACAUGCAAGUCGAGCGAACGGACGAGAAGCUUGCUUCUCUGAUGUUAGCGGCGGACGGGUGAGUAACACGUGGAUAACCUACCUAUAAGACUGGGAUAACUUCGGGAAACCGGAGCUAAUACCGGAUAAUAUUUUGAACCGCAUGGUUCAAAAGUGAAAGACGGUCUUGCUGUCACUUAUAGAUGGAUCCGCGCUGCAUUAGCUAGUUGGUAAGGUAACGGCUUACCAAGGCAACGAUGCAUAGCCGACCUGAGAGGGGAGUCGGCCCACGAGGAACUGAGACGCGGUCCAAACCCCUAGGGGGGGCAGCAGGAGGGAAUUUUCCGAAAAGGGAGAAAGCCGGAGGGAGAAACCCGGGGGGAGGGAAGAGGGUUUUCGGAUCUAAAAACUUUUUUUUGAGGGAAAAAAAAAUUGGUAAGUAACGUGACAAAUCUUGGAGGACCCAAAACAAAAGGCCACGGAAAACUACGU